rnacentral:tRNA from 1 species
GGGCCUGUAGCUCAGCUGGUUAGAGCGCACGCCUGAUAAGCGUGAGGUCAGUGGUUCGAGUCCACUCAGGCCCACCA